AUUGAACGCUGGCGGCAUGCCUUACACAUGCAAGUCGAACGGUAACGGGCCUUCGGGUGCCGACGAGUGGCGAACGGGUGAGUAAUACAUCGGAACGUGCCCGAUCGUGGGGGAUAACGAGGCGAAAGCUUUGCUAAUACCGCAUACGAUCUACGGAUGAAAGCAGGGGACCGCAAGGCCUUGCGCGGACGGAGCGGCCGAUGGCAGAGGAGGUAGUUGGUGGGAUAAAAGCUUACCAAGCCGACGAUCUGUAGCGGAUCUGAGAGGAUGAGCAGCCACACUGGGGCUGAGACGCGGCCCAGGCUCCUACGGGAGGCAGCAGUGGGGAAUUUUGGACAAUGGGCGCAAGCCUGAUCCAGCCAUGCCGCGUGCAGGAUGAAGGCCUUCGGGUUGUAAACUGCUUUUGUACGGAACGAAAAGCCUUCUUUUAAUACAGGAGGGUCAUGACGGUACCGUAAGAAUAAGCACCGGCUACCUACGU
rnacentral:rRNA from 1 species